UACGUAGGUGGCAAGCGUUUGUCCGGAUUUACUGGGCGUAAAGAGCGCGCAGGCGGUCGUUCAAGUCGCGUGUGAAAGCCCCCGGCUCAACUGGGGAGGGUCACGCGAUACUGAUCGACUCGAAGGCAGGAGAGGGUAGUGGAAUUCCCGGUGUAGUGGUGAAAUGCGUAGAUAUCGGGAGGAACACCAGUGGCGAAGGCGACUACCUGGCCUGUUUCUUGACGCUGAGGCGCGAAAGCUAGGGGAGCAAGCGGG
rnacentral:rRNA from 1 species